rnacentral:rRNA from 1 species
GAUGAACGCUGGCGGCGUGCCUAAUACAUGCGAGUCGAGCGAACGGACGAGAAGCUUGCUUCUCUGAUGUUAGCGGCGGACGGGUGAGUAACACGUGGAUAACCUACCUAUAAGACUGGGAUAACUUCGGGAAACCGGAGCUAAUACCGGAUAAUAUUUUGAACCGCAUGGUUCAAAAGUGAAAGACGGUCUUGCUGUCACUUAUAGAUGGAUCCGCGCUGCAUUAGCUAGUUGGUAAGGUAACGGCUUACCAAGGCAACGAUGCAUAGCCGACCUGAGAGGGUGAUCGGCCACACUGGAACUGAGACACGGUCCAGACUCCUACGGGAGGCAGCAGUAGGGAAUCUUCCGCAAUGGGCGAAAGCCUGACGGAGCAACGCCGCGUGAGUGAUGAAGGUCUUCGGAUCGUAAAACUCUGUUAUUAGGGAAGAACAUAUGUGUAAGUAACUGUGCACAUCUUGACGGUACCUAAUCAGAAAGCCACGGCUAACUACGUGCCAGCAGCCGCGGUAAUACGUAGGUGGCAAGCGUUAUCCGGAAUUAUUGGGCGUAAAGCGCGCGUAGGCGGUUUUUUAAGUCUGAUGUGAAAGCCCACGGCUCAACCGUGGAGGGUCAUUGGAAACUGGAAAACUUGAGUGCAGAAGAGGAAAGUGGAAUUCCAUGUGUAGCGGUGAAAUGCGCAGAGAUAUGGAGGAACACCAGUGGCGAAGGCGACUUUCUGGUCUGUAACUGACGCUGAUGUGCGAAAGCGUGGGGAUCAAACAGGAUUAGAUACCCUGGUAGUCCACGCCGUAAACGAUGAGUGCUAAGUGUUAGGGGGUUUCCGCCCCUUAGUGCUGCAGCUAACGCAUUAAGCACUCCGCCUGGGGAGUACGACCGCAAGGUUGAAACUCAAAGGAAUUGACGGGGAUCCGCACAAGCGGUGGAGCAUGUGGUUUAAUUCGAAGCAACGCGAAGAACCUUACCAAAUCUUGACAUCCUUUGACAACUCUAGAGAUAGAGCCUUCCCCUUCGGGGGACAAAGUGACAGGUGGUGCAUGGUUGUCGUCAGCUCGUGUCGUGAGAUGUUGGGUUAAGUCCCGCAACGAGCGCAACCCUUAAGCUUAGUUGCCAUCAUUAAGUUGGGCACUCUAAGUUGACUGCCGGUGACAAACCGGAGGAAGGUGGGGAUGACGUCAAAUCAUCAUGCCCCUUAUGAUUUGGGCUACACACGUGCUACAAUGGACAAUACAAAGGGCAGCGAAACCGCGAGGUCAAGCAAAUCCCAUAAAGUUGUUCUCAGUUCGGAUUGUAGUCUGCAACUCGACUACAUGAAGCUGGAAUCGCUAGUAAUCGUAGAUCAGCAUGCUACGGUGAAUACGUUCCCGGGUCU